rnacentral:tRNA from 1 species
GCGGAUGUAGCCAGUGGAUCAAGGCAGUGGAUUGUGA